rnacentral:rRNA from 1 species
GAUGAACGCUGGCGGCGUGCCUAAUACAUGCAAGUCGAGCGAACGGACGAGAAGCUUGCUUUUCUGAUGUUAGCGGCGGACGGGUGAGUAACACGUGGAUAACCUACCUAUAAGACUGGUAUAACUUCGGGAAACCGGAGCUAAUACCGGAUAAUAUUUUGAACCGCAUGGUUCGAAAGUGAAAGACGGUCUUGCUGUCACUUAUAGAUGGAUCCGCGCUGCAUGAGCUAGUUGGUAAGGUAACGGCUUACCAAGGCAACGAUGCAUAGACGACGUGAGAGAGUGGUAGCCCACCCUAGAGGUGAGACGGGCUCAAGGCUACUACGAGAGGCAGCAGAAGGGAAUCUUACGCAGUGGGCGAAAGCAUGACGGAGCAGCGCGGCGUGAGUGAUGGAGGUCUUCGGAUCGGAAAACUCUGUUAUUGGGGAAGAACAUAUGUGUAAGUAGAUGUGCACAUAGUGACGGUACCGAAUAAGAAAGCCCCGGCUAACUACGUG